UACGAAGGGGGCUAGCGUUGCUCGGAAUCACUGGGCGUAAAGCGCACGUAGGCGGAUUGUUAAGUCAGGGGUGAAAUCCCGGAGCUCAACUCCGGAACUGCCUUUGAUACUGGCGAUCUUGAGUCCGGGAGAGGUGAGUGGAACUGCGAGUGUAGAGGUGAAAUUCGUAGAUAUUCGCAAGAACACCAGUGGCGAAGGCGGCUCACUGGCCCGAUACUGACGCUGAGGCACGAAAGCGUGGGGAGCAAACAGG
rnacentral:rRNA from 1 species